CACGUAGUUAGCCGGGGCUUCUUAGUCAGGUACCGUCCAGGCGCCCAAGGGGCACCUUUCUUCCCUGCUAAUAGAGCUUUACAUACCGAAAUACUUCUUCACUCACGCGGCGUCGCUGCAUCAGGGUUUCCCCCAUUGUGCAAUAUUCCCCACUGCUGCCUCCCGUAGGAGUUUGGGCCGUGUCUCAGUCCCAAUGUGGCCGUCCGCCCUCUCAGGCCGGCUACUGAUCGUCGGUUUGGUGGGCCGUUACCCCGCCAACUGCCUAAUCAGACGCGGGCCCAUCCCAUACCGCGAAAGCUUUCCAUCCAGGGGCAUGCGCCCCCGCAUGUGCAUGCGGUAUUAGCAGCCGUUUCCGGCUGUUAUCCCCCUGUAUGGGGCAGGUUACCCACGCGUUACUCACCCGUCCGCCACUCAGUCACGCGGCCUUCCACCCCGGAGGGCUUCCGUCCCGUGCCUUCGUCGACUUGCAUGUGUUAAGCACGCCGCCAGCGUUCAUCCUGAGCCAGGAUCAAACUC
rnacentral:rRNA from 1 species